UAAUACGUAGGGGGCAAGCGUUGUCCGGAUUUACUGGGUGUAAAGGGCGCGCAGGCGGGAUAAAAAGUCAGUGGUGAAAUCCUACAGCUUAACUGUAGAACUGCCUUUGAUACUUUUAUUCUUGAGUUCGGGAGAGAGAGACGGAAUUCCAGGUGUAGUGGUGAAAUACGUAGAUAUCUGGAAGAACACCAGUUGCGAAGGCGGUCUCUUGGUCCGAUACUGACGCUGAGGCGCGAAAGCGUGGGGAGCAAACAGG
rnacentral:rRNA from 1 species